rnacentral:rRNA from 1 species
GACGAACGCUGGCGGCGUGCCUAAUACAUGCAAGUUGAGCGCUGAAGGUUGGUACUUGUACCAACUGGAUGAGCAGCGAACGGGUGAGUAACGCGUGGGGAAUCUGCCUUUGAGCGGGGGACAACAUUUGGAAACGAAUGCUAAUACCGCAUAAAAACUUUAAACACAAGUUUUAAGUUUGAAAGAUGCAAUUGCAUCACUCAAAGAUGAUCCCGCGUUGUAUUAGCUAGUUGGUGAGGUAAAGGCUCACCAAGGCGAUGAUACAUAGCCGACCUGAGAGGGGGAGCGGCCACAGUGGGACUGAGACACGGCCCAAACUCCUACGGGAGGCAGCAGUAGGGAAUCUUCGGCAAUGGACGAAAUGCUGACCGAGCAACGCCGCGUGAGUGAAGAAGGUUUUCGGAUCGUAAAACUCUGUUGGUAGAGAAGAACGUUGGUGAGAGUGGAAAGCUCAUCAAGUGACGGUAACUACCCAGAAAGGGACGGCUAACUACGUG